AGCAGCCGCGGUAAUUCCAGCUCCAAUAGCGUAUAUUAAAGUUGUUGCAGUUAAAAAGCUCGUGGUUGAAUUUCGGGACCAAUUUGUUGGUCGUGCCUCGGUACGUACUGGUAUUAUUGGUUUCUCCCUUCUGAAGGACCUCGAUGCCAUUAAUUUGGUGUCGUGGGGAAUCAGGACUGUUACUUUGAAAAAAUUAGAGUGUUUAAAGCAAGCAUACGCUUGAAUACAUUAGCAUGGAAUAAUGAAAUAGGACGUUUGAUUCUAUUUUGUGGUUUCUAGGAUCGACGUAAUGAUUAAUAGGGAUAGUUGGGGGCAUUAGUAUUCAAUUGUCAGAGGUGAAAUUCUUGGAUUUAUUGAAGACUAACUACUGCGAAAGCAUUUGCCAAGGAUGUUUUCAUUAAUCAAGAACGAAAGUUAGGGGA
rnacentral:rRNA from 1 species